CCUACGGGAGGCAGCAGUGGGGAAUAUUGGACAAUGGGCGAAAGCCUGAUCCAGCCAUGCCGCGUGUGUGAAGAAGGCCUUCGGGUUGUAAAGCACUUUCAGUGGGGAAGAAAGCCUUGGGGCUAAUACCCUCGAGGAAGGACAUCACCCACAGAAGAAGCACCGGCUAACUCCGUGCCAGCAGCCGCGGUAAUACGGAGGGUGCGAGCGUUAAUCGGAAUUACUGGGCGUAAAGCGCGCGUAGGCGGUCUGAUAAGCCGGUUGUGAAAGCCCCGGGCUCAACCUGGGAACGGCAUCCGGAACUGUCAGGCUAGAGUGCAGGAGAGGAAGGUAGAAUUCCCGGUGUAGCGGUGAAAUGCGUAGAGAUCGGGAGGAAUACCAGUGGCGAAGGCGGCCUUCUGGACUGACACUGACGCUGAGGUGCGAAAGCGUGGGUAGCGAACAGGAUUAGAUACCCCUGUAGUC
rnacentral:rRNA from 1 species